rnacentral:rRNA from 1 species
UACGGGGGGGGCGAAGCGUUGUCCGGAAUCAUUGGGCGUAAAGCGCGCGUAGGCGGCCCGGUAAGUCCGCUGUAAAAGUCCAGGGGCUCAACCCUGGAAAGCCGGUGGAUACUGUCGGGCUAGAGUCCGGAAGAGGCGAGUGGAAUUCCCGGUGUAGCGGUGAAAUGCGCAGAUAUCGGGAAGAACACCCGUGGCGAAGGCGGCUCUCUGGGACGGUACUGACGCUGAGACGCGAAAGCGUGGGGAGCAAACAGG